ACAAAUCUAUUUGAGUGCUGCAGUCCUAGUGGCUGCAUGCACACAUAAGCCCUAAAGCGUAGCACUUCGGUGUGACCGCUUUAGUGUGUGUGGAGGAUUCGGAUCUUUUCGAUUCCUUCAUAGGUCUUCCUUCUGGAUGACCACAUUGACGCUUGUUUGUUUGACAGAGUUAUUAUGACAACAAAAAUAGA
rnacentral:misc_RNA from 1 species